CGUUGGCUGUCAGCUGACUGUUUUGACAACAUUUUCAAAACCUUAUACAUUCCCGGCUAGUAUCCACAGAGGAUCAAGAAAAAUAGUAUACGUACAAAGUCGAAGUUCCGCCAGAGAAGUUGAUGCCCUAGGCAAAGCCGAGGGCUUCAUGUACGCAGUGGCGAAUAAAAUGCUAUUUAGAUUUUUAUUUAUGAACUGAAAAUAUAUGGAAUGCUAUUUGUUUUUAUUAA